AGUGGCGGACGGGUGAGUAACGCGUGGGUAACCUGCCUCAUACAGGGGGAUAACAGUUAGAAAUGACUGCUAAUACCGCAUAAGACCACAGCACCGCAUGGUGCAGGGGUAAAAACUCCGGUGGUAUGAGAUGGACCCGCGUCUGAUUAGGUAGUUGGUGGGGUAACGGCCUACCAAGCCGACGAUCAGUAGCCGACCUGAGAGGGUGACCGGCCACAUUGGGACUGAGACACGGUCCAA
rnacentral:rRNA from 1 species